AAAGCAAAUCAUCUUCUUCUUCUUCAAGAAACAGUGUCUUGUCCACACAACACCAUUGCUCUUUCAAUCCGCCAUGUCCCUCUUCUUUCGUUCCUUACCCACCAUAGCCAUUCGCUCUAAACCUUCUCCUCUCACUUCUCUACCUUUUUUCUUCAUUAAUUUCCAUAACCCCAUCACCCACAACCCCACUUCACUUAUCAACCGCACUCUUUCUUCUACUUCAGUCUCCGCUUCUCCCACUACUCCUGAAACAGUUGUCGUCCCUAAUCCAAAGGUUUCUCCAUCUCCGAAUGCCCUUCAAUGGGUAAGUCGGAAUCAAUACUGCGGUGAAUUGUCCGAAGAAGAUGUGGG
rnacentral:misc_RNA from 1 species